rnacentral:lncRNA from 1 species
GCAAAUGAUACUCAGGAGAUGAGGCCAAGAGGGAAGGCUGGUCAGGUGGGAGUGACAAAGCUAUGGCUGGCUAUUGAUUGGUGGUGAUUUGACAGGCCUGUCGUGAUGUUGGGUGGUGAAUGGUAGCCUCUGUAAGAUGAGAUGCUUUGUGGGCUCUUGGCGUGCAUUGACUGACUCAUGCUGUUGAGAUGUCCUGGACGCAGUGGCGGAACCAGAAACUUUUGAGAGGGGGGUCAAAAUAUACUUGUAAAAUCAUGACGGGGGCGAUACGAGCUACAAUGACGGUAACUGACGACGACAAUAACAGCGAUAUUAAUACUAACGUCUUAAAGAUAAAUAAACUAAUAGUAACACCAAUGUCUUUCAGACCCACAAUUGGUCGUAUCCUCUCCAUUAUAUGUUGCAAAAGGCUCAUGUUUAAUUCCUGCCACAAAACCCACAUUAUCCAACAACAGAACAAAAUUUACAAUAUGAUUUUCACGUGCAAACAAAAAACAGAGUUUCCUGUGUUCCCAUUUUGCAAGGUAUGAUUCGUAAGCAAAUCAAAAGAUUAUAAUUCCAUAAAUUGUCUCAGAAAAGGAUAUACUCACGGACUCACGAUGUCUAGCAAAGAGUCACUUUUAAAUUUUAUUUUUGUCUUAAUUUAAUAAUUUCAUUAAAAGUCACUUUUAUUUUUGUCCUAAUUUAAUAAUUUCAAUUAACCUAAUGAGAUUAUGAGAAAUAAAUUAAUAAAACUACACUCCAACGGACAACAGUAACAAUACAAGUAUAUAAUUUGAAAGACAUUAAAUUACUAAAAGAUUAAAGUAACAAUUCUGAAAACUAAAUUACUAAAAGAUUAAAGAUUACUCCAACAGUAACAAUUCUGAAAACUAAAUUACUAAAAGAUUAAAGAUGUAAACAUUAAAUUAUUAAAAUUCAUCAAAAUUCUUUCUUUUAGGAUUCUCAAAAGCCAAACAAAGGUAAAAGAAAAGAAAAAUUAAUUGGAAAUAAUUGGAAAAAUUAAAACAAACCUAAAUUAAAGAAAAAUUUAAAUAAUAUAAUUACAACAAUCAGAAAAAGUAAUAAAUUAAAAUUACAAUAAUCGGAAAAAUUAAAGAGAUCAUUUUGAUUCUUAACAUGAAAUAAUAUAAUUUAUUAUUUCAUUUGAAAGACAAAACCUAAAUUAGAAUUUAGAAAUUACCAAAGUCCAAAGGAAGGACCAAGCAGCUCCAAGAUUGGAGCGAGUCAGAGGCGGAACAGUCGGCAGGCAGAGGCGGAACAGACGAACAUUCGGCAGGCGGAGAGGCGUCGGGCGCGGGCCGCGCGGCUGAGGAGGCAGGAGCAGUCGGCGGUGAAGACUGACGGCC